GACGAACGCUGGCGGCGUGCUUAACACAUGCAAGUCGAACGAUGAAGAAGAGAAACGCGCCCUUCGGUUCAAAUUUCACUUCGGAUUAGUGGCAGACGGGUGAGUAACGCGUGAGCAACCUACCUCUUACAAAGGGAUAGCCUCGGGAAACCGUGAUUAAUACCAUAUGACACAUUCAUAAGGCAUCUUAAGAAUGUUAAAGCUACGGCGGUAAGAGAUGGGCUCGCGUCCCAUUAGCUAGUUGGUGAGGUAACGGCCCACCAAGGCGACGAUGGGUAACCGGCCUGAGAGGGUGAACGGUCACAUUGGAACUGAGACACGGUCCAAACUCCUACGGGAGGCAGCAGUGGGGAAUAUUGCACAAUGGAGGGAACUCUGAUGCAGCGACGCCGCGUGAGCGAUGAAGGAAUUCGUUUCGUAAAGCUCUGUUCUAUGGGAAGAAAAGGACUGUACCAUAGGAGAAAGCCCCGGCUAAAUACGUG
rnacentral:rRNA from 1 species